rnacentral:lncRNA from 1 species
UCCUUGAAGGGAAUGUUGUUUGUGGGGAAUCCCUCAAAGUGAUCCAUCCUCAGAAUUCUCAUUUAAAUGGGGAGUCUGCUUGAUAGAGAUCUGCCACAUAAAGCAGCAUUUUACUGUGUUCAGAAUGCUAAUUCCCAUUGGACUCAACUCAUUCAGUCUGACUUAUGGACUGCUUUUGGAAGCACAGUACUGACCUAAAUGGACCUUUGAUCUGGAUUGUCAUAGCCAUCCUUGGAUGAGGAGAAGUACACUGACAAAUGAGUAAGUGCAGGCUUUCGCCAUCUGGAAUUCAGCAAAAUUUAUCAAAAAUUAAUAUUUUUUUUCACCGAGAAAAGUGCAAGCGAAUCACUAAGUAUAUGAGCAAAGAAUAGAGAGUUUUGUCUGAAUAGACUGUGAUUCUGGAGUCAAGCACUCUGUUGAUAUAUUUUUUUAAGUAGGUUUUGCAGCUUCCAUGUCUUCUUUGUUGCUUUUUGUAGAAGUAAAAAUUUGCAACAACUAUGUCUCUGAAUCUUUUUGUGUGUUCUUCCAAAGCUGGUAGGUAGAACGUUAAGUGUGACUCCUACAAAAUUCAGUGGACAUUGUAUUAUCACAAGAAGAGAAAACAAAUAUUAAAAAUCAGGAAGGAAAACUAUUAGUAGGAUCUGCAUUAGUUUCAGUAUAUGUUAUGUUCUGUAAGUGUUAUAUUUCUGUUCAGUGUCAGAAUGCAGUUUGUAGCCAGAAGCUACCACCAACUGGCAACAUGUGGCGCUUCUUAAGCAAAAGUUGAUUUUUAUUCUUUAUGGCUUAUUUUGUAUUGUAGCAGCUUUACAGAAAUAUCUUUCCAGAUAUUCUUAACUUUGUUUUCAUGGUAGUUUAACUUAGUUCAUGACUGCUAAAUAACACUAUGCUGUUCAAGUCUUCACAGGCAUUAAUGGUCAAAUCUGUAAAGGAGCAUAAUCUUAGUAAACUAGCAGGUUUUUUUCCCCUAUAUUUUUAACAAACUCUUCAGAAUUUUUAUGAUUUCCUGAAAAUAUAUAUAUUUAGUUUUAGUCCUGUGUGCUUAAAUUUACCUGGGUGUUAAAUUGACCGAAAUAGGUGGAGUCUCUUUUAUUUCUUUUCCUGACAUGGCAGACACUUUUUAUUCAGAUUUCUGUCAGCACGGUUUUAUUAUAAUACAUUGUUAGUACUAGAAGUUCCCUUUUAUUAUUUUAGAACUAUUUAAAAUAAAUAUUUGCAAGAAAAUAUAAUAGCCA